rnacentral:tRNA from 3 species
GGCCUGGUAGUUCAGCUGGUUAGAACGCUAGCCUGUCACGCUAGAGGUCGUCGGUUCGAUCCCGAUCCAGGUCGCCA